AUUGAACGCUGGCGGCAGGCUUAACACAUGCAAGUCGAGCGGAGCGGCGGACGGGUGAGGAAUGCCUAGGAAUGGGACUGGUAGUGGGGGAUAAGGACCAGAAAAGGGCGCGAAUACUGCAUACUAUCAGAUGAGGCUAGGUCGGAUUGGCUAGUGGGGGGGGUAAAGGCGUACCAAGGCGACGAUCCGUAUCUGGUCUGAGAGGAUGAGCAGCCACACUGGAACUGAGACACGGUCCAGACUCCUACGGGAGGCAGCAGUGGGGAAUAUUGGACAAUGGGCGAAAGCCUGAUGCAGCCAUGCCGCGUGUGUGAAGAAGGUCUUCGGAUUGUAAAGCACUUUAAGUGGGGAGGCGUUACCAGCAGAAUAAGCACCGGCUAACUUCGUGCCAGCCGCCGCGGUAAUUC
rnacentral:rRNA from 1 species